CCUAAAGUUGACAUUAGGAUGCUUCAAGGAGAACCCUUUGCAUAUGCCACUCCAAACCUUGUAUGGAUUUUGCUGACAGAGACUGUGAUCUCUGGGCCUGCUGCUCAGAUUCCUUCCAGAGGUUAUGACCUGUGACUCUGAAUAAUAAAAGUCCUUAUCCAGGCUGAGGAACCAAUACUGCAAGACAGAAGGAAUGGGAGAGAAAGGACAAGACCUGCCAAAGCCAUGCCCACCCUGCUCAAGCUGGCCGGAGUCCCUUCAAGGUUCAAUGCUUUGUCUUCACCAUCUGAGAUCAAACGUCUUUAAUUGGGAGCUACAGAAUUUACUGAAUUUAGGAUUCAUUUAAAACUCACUGGCUUAGACUUAUAAUGCUAACCCCCCACUGCUCUGUCUACUUAUGAAGAAGUCUUACACCACAUAGAUUUGCUUAUUUCUGAGAAUGAAAGACUCUUUAUAAUCCUAUUUUAAAAGCUCCUAAGGAGCACAGAGACUAUAAAUUAUAAUUCAGUAUUUGGAAGGGUUGGAUUUAAGUGAGAUAGGAUCAUAUGGUUCAUAGAUUUCUUUUAAUAAACACAUAAGCUU
rnacentral:sRNA from 1 species